ACAUGUACAUUGGGGAAGAUAUACAGUGUACACUUGACAUGUUUCACUUUAUAUUGUCUUCAUUCUAGGGCAACAAAAGAGAAACAUCGCCAGCUUUAGCAAAGACCAGAAGGAAAAGUCUGAGAACAGGAGCAAGUUCUGAUGAACAACCCAGCAGCCCUGAUGGAGGUAACAUCGUGUAGAUUUAUUUCAUUCAUUAUUCAUUGUAGUGGUCACUACCCCACUAUUAACUAGAUUUAGUUAAUGCCAUUGUUUGAAAGCAUUUAAUCCUAUGGAGCAUGAAAGAAUGUUGGUCUGUGAACUCUCUGGAUGUUUGCAUUUAUCAGUGUGAAGGAAAUCUACGAGUUGGUUCUUUUACAUGUGAAGUACUUGUAAUCUCAUUUGUUUUUCUUCUACAAAGGAAAAUCAAAGAAAAGAAAGAGAUCCCCCUCGCCUGAACAGAAGAAGAAAAAGAAACUGCCUGGACCAGGAAAUCCCAAGAAAAAAACUGGUAAAGAAGAGGAUAAUGACAGUGACGAUGCUACCAAAGAUCUACCUGAUCCAUCGCCAAUACCUAAUGUUGAAGAAGUCUCUGCUUCUACUGCUUCAGGUGCAAAGGGUAAGGAAGAUUUGCAACCAAUGAAGGGGACCUCACUGACAGACAUAUCUGAUUCAGGAAAACCAGAAGGCACUGAUGGGGAGGAAAUGGAGACUAGCAGUCACAUGGAUACACAGGUAUCCCAUUCAGCCUCGAGCUUGUCAAUUUUUGUUAGAUUAUUGUUAUAUUUUUUGGUCUCCCAUUUUCUGUGAAGGGAACAAGCAGGUACCACACUCAGCCUGUCAUACCUUUUUUAACUGACGGAUUAGUUAACAUGUAUGAUAUAUCUCUUGCUGAUCAAAUUGUGGGUCAGCUUCACGUUUGUUUGAUGUUCAAGUGGUUGUCAAAACUUCAUUAUGAUUUUAUCUCGCUCAAAGGACCAACCAGAGGACAGUACAGAGCAGUCAGCACCAGCCUCGCCUUCAUCCAGCCAGACUAAAGAUGGAUUGUUCAAAGAACCACUCAUCAUG